rnacentral:rRNA from 1 species
UACGGGGGGAGCAAGCGUUGUUCGGAUUUACUGGGCGUAAAGGGCGCGUAGGCGGCCACCGCAAGUCGACUGUGAAAUCUCCGGGCUUAACCCGGAAAGGUCAGCCGAUACUGCGGGGCUAGAGUGCAGAAGGGGCAACUGGAAUUCUCGGUGUAGCGGUGAAAUGCGUAGAUAUCGGGAGGAACACCGGUGGCGAAGGCGGCGACCUGGUUCGAUACUGACACUGAGGUGCGAAAGCGUGGGGAGCAAACAGG